rnacentral:rRNA from 1 species
GACGAACGCUGGCGGCGUGCUUAACACAUGCAAGUCGAACGGAAAGGCCCUGCUUUUGUGGGGUGCUCGAGUGGCGAACGGGUGAGUAACACGUGAGUAACCUGCCCUUGACUUUGGGAUAACUUCAGGAAACUGGGGCUAAUACCGGAUAGGAGCUCCUGCUGCAUGGUGGGGGUUGGAAAGUUUCGGCGGUUGGGGAUGGACUCGCGGCUUAUCAGCUUGUUGGUGGGGUAGUGGCUUACCAAGGCUUUGAUGGGUAGCCGGCCUGAGAGGGUGACCGGCCACAUUGGGACUGAGAUACGGCCCAGACUCCUACGGGAGGCAGCAGUGGGGAAUAUUGCACAAUGGGCGGAAGCCUGAUGCGGCAACGCCGCGUGCGGGAUGACGGCCUUCGGGUUGUAAACCGCUUUCGCCUGUGACGAAGCGUGAGUGACGGUAAUGGGUAAAGAAGCACCGGCUAACUACGUG